rnacentral:rRNA from 1 species
GACGGGACCCGCACAAGCGGUGGAUGAUGUGGUUUAAUUCGAUGCAACGCGAAAACCUUACCCACCUUUGACAUGUACGGAAGCCUUUAGAGAUAGAGGCGUGCUCGAAAGAGAGCCGUAACACAGGUGCUGCAUGGCUGUCGUCAGCUCGUGUCGUGAGAUGUUGGGUUAAGUCCCGCAACGAGCGCAACCCUUGUCAUUAGUUGCUACAUUCAGUUGGGCACUCUAAUGAGACUGCCGGUGACAAGCCGGAGGAAGGUGGGGAUGACGUCAAGUCCUCAUGGCCCUUAUAGGUGGGGCUACACACGUCAUACAAUGGCUGGUACAAAGGGUUGCCAACCCGCGAGGGGGAGCUAAUCCCAUAAAGCCAGUCGUAGUCCGGAUCGUAGUCUGCAACUCGACUACGUGAAGUCGGAAUCGCUAGUAAUCGUGGAUCAGAAUGUCACGGUGAAUACGUCCCCGGGUCUU